rnacentral:rRNA from 1 species
GAUGAACGCUAGCGGUGCGCCUAACACAUGUAAGUCGUGCGAUCGAACCGAACUGAGUCCCUUCGGGGGCGAUGAUUGGUGACGGAGCGGCGGACGGGUGAGUAACGCGUGGCUAACCUACCCUCUUGACGGGGACAACCACCCGAAAGGGUGGCUAAUACCCGAUAUUGUCUGGAACCGAUGGGUUCCUUUCCAAAGGCGGUCCUGCCGCCGCAAGGGGAUGGGGCUGCGUCCUAUUAGCUAGUUGGUGAGGUAACGGCCCACCAAGGCUGUGAUGGGUAGCUGGUCUGAGAGGACGGCCAGCCACAUUGGGACUGAGAUACGGCCCAGACUCCUACGGGAGGCAGCAGUGGGGAAUCUUGGCCAAUGGACGAAAGUCUGAGCCAGCGACACCGCGUGGGGGAUGAAGGCCUUCGGGUUGUAAACCUCUUUUCUGGGGAAAGAAUAAGGACGGGAGGAAAUGCCCGCCCGAUGACGGUACUCCAGGAAUAAGCAUCGGCUAACUCUGUGCCAGCAGGCGCGGUAAGACAGAGGAUGCAAGCGUUAUCCGGAAUUACUGGGCGUAAAAGGCGUCUAGGCGGGUGAGCAAGUCACUUGUGAAAUCCCUCGGCUCAACCGAGGAGAGUCUCGUGAUACUGCUCGUCUU